rnacentral:rRNA from 1 species
CCUCAAGCUUGCUUGGGGUACUCGAGUGGCGAACGGGUGAGUAAUACGUGGGUAACCUGCCCUCUUCUUUGGGAUAAGCCCCGGAAACGGGGUCUAAUACCGGAUAUUCUGCUUCUGCCGCAUGGUGGGGGCUGGAAAGGUUUUUCGGUGGGGGAUGGGCCCGCGGCCUAUCAGCUUGUUGGUGGGGUGAUGGCCUACCAAGGCUUCGACGGGUAGCCGGCCUGAGAGGGUGACCGGCCACAUUGGAACUGAGACACGGUCCAAACUCCUACGGGAGGUAGCAGCG